GCAUUUGAGCGUAUGUGACUGGCUAGAUCACGCUGGCGGCGUGCUUAACACAUGCAAGUCGAGCGUGAUUUGACGGCGUAUCGUCAGAUCUAGCGGCAGACGGGUGAGUAAUACUUGGGCAAUCUACCUUCGAGAGGGGGACAACCUGCCGAAAGGCGGGCUGAUACCCCAUAAGACCACAGGGUCGCAUGAUCUAGGGGUCAAAGCUCCGCAAGGGGCACUUGAAGAGGAGCCCGAGUCCUAUCAUGGUAGUUGGCGGGGUAAUGGCCCACCAAGCCGUUGACGGGUAGCCGGCCUGAAAGGGCAAACGGCCACACUGGCACUGAGACACGGGCCAGACUCCUACGGGAGGCAGCAGUGGGGAAUUUUGGACAAUGGGGGCAACCCUGAUCCAGCGACGCCGCAUGAAGGAUGAAGGUCUUCGGAUUGUAAACUUCUUUUAAAGGGGAUGAAUGGCUUGGUGAAUAGCCAAGUUUGACAGUACUCUUUGAAUAAGCCACGGCUAACUACGUGCCAGCAGCCGCGGUAAUACGUAGGUGGCAAGCGUUACUCGGAAUCACUAGGCGUAAAGCGCAGGUAGGCGGUUUGGUAAGUCUGUUGUGAAAGCUCCCGGCUCAACUGGGAGAGGCCAACGGAAACUACCAGGCUAGAGUGUGGUAGAGGUAGCUGGAAUUCCCGGUGUAGCGGUGAAAUGCGUAGAUAUCGGGAGGAAUACCUAUGGCGAAAGCAGGCUACUGGACCAUCACUGACGCUGAUCUGCGAAAGCUAGGGGAGCAAACAGGAUUAGAUACCCUGGUAGUCCUAGCCCUAAACGAUGCUCAUUAGUGUGGUAGGUAUCGACCCCUUCCGCGCCGAAGCUAACGCAUUAAAUGGAGCCGCCUUG
rnacentral:rRNA from 1 species